GGAUGAGUGAUUUGGUUAUUAAAAGUGGUUAAUUAUAGAAUUAUGGUUAGAAUCCAGAGAAUCAGAAGAAAGUAUAUAGGAGUUGUAGAAGUUAAUUAGGGUGCCAAACUGUAAGAAUUGUAAGCCGAGGGCUAGACUGUGAGAGUCGUAAGUUGAGGGCCAUUGCCGUGAUCGUGUGAGCCGGGGUAAGCUUGGUGCUACCUCUUUUCUUUUACUUGUUAUUUUCUUUGAAUAAGAGGAUUGAGAGUUUCUGAAUAUUGUGAAGUGAAUUAUGGAAUGGAAAUGUGAUUGAUAUUAUUUGAGAAGAAGAAAGAUUGAAUGCUAAAAUCUGAUUGUAGUUCAACAGAGAAAAUGAGUCUGUAUUUGUGUGAAACACUGUAAUGUGAAUGGCAGUUCUGUAUGAAGAAUUCCAGUGAUUGGAAUGAGGGUAAUUGUAUGCUGAAAGCUGUGAGGGCACAGUAUUAUAGUUGGAGAUUAUGAGGGUGAAUAUAUUGGUGGAAAUAUAAAAGUGAAUAUAAAAUAUGAGACUAAUGCAAAAAAGAUUAAACUAGUGGUAUUGUUA
rnacentral:lncRNA from 1 species